UUGUACACUUUUUUUUUUUCCUUUUUCACGUGUUUCCUCCACUCUUAGUAAAACCAAAUGAAUUUCUCAAGGAAAAAGAAAUUGGCCCUAUCUUCUUCCAGUUAGUCAUGAUGCAGUGAAAAAAUUAAACGCCCAAAGAGAAUCACUAUCUGUGGAUCCAUUCUAUUUUCUCCUCUUCUGAUUUCCUUGUUGCCAUCUUUUCAACCGUGUGGUAAAUGAGACGGUGUGAUGUGUGAGCAAGCGAUGAUUUCAAGGAAAAGUUCAUCAUAUCUCAACUAUUAACCUUCUGAUUUAUUCUUUGAGUGUUGGCUGAGAGUGGGAUCAAAACAUUCCUCAAGCACUUUGGAAGCUCUUUUGAACACGAACUUCAGUAACAUUAAUGGCUCCUUCGUCUGGAGUAUAGGUUAUUUCUUAUGGAUGAAAAUUGUCAAUGGCAUGAGCAAAGUCGGAAAAAGGGAGGGGUACUUGAAAGAGAGAUAUGAUUGUGGCAUGUUCGCAAUCAAGUACAUGCAACAUUGGAAUGGGGCCACACUAGCACAUUCAAUUGCGGAGGACAAGAUGCAUUUAUAUUGAUUGAGGCUGGUCGUUACCUUGGUCACGAAUGUGGCAAACAAUGAUAGAGAGGUCAUGAAGGCAUGUCGAAUGUGACAUAUGAGGGUUGUGCCACUUUUGUUAGUUGCAAUUUAUGAACUACUAAAUAUAAAAGAUAAUGUCAAAGAGAAAGGAAAGACAACAUGUCUGUAUAUAAUCAUGGUUUGCUUUAUUUGUUUGUUAAUAGUGUUUGCCACUAUGCACCAAUUUAUGCUAACGCGAUAAUGCACACUGGGACAAUAGUGGAAACAUUUGUCAGGAUAAUAUGGUGGGAUUUUUUGAACUUCUAACCAUCCCUUUGUCUUUUAUUCCAUGAUGCUCCAUUAAUUUUAUUGUUCAUGCUUAUUGUCUUUUGUCUUACAAGAAAGGUUGAGCAUAGCCACAAAUUGGCCUAUGUUAAGUGCAUCAGCAAGGCUAAGUGUGAUUAAUAAAGGCCACUUGGAACAGGGAAGGUCAUUGAUGUCACCUUACUUGCCUGAGAGUGGGGCUGGUGGUGGCAGCAAUCCAUAAUCAGAAGGCGACAAUUAGAAAACAUAAUUGUUGACAACCAUGAAGACACCAUGACAAAAAUAGGAGCAAUGUUACACUUCAGAAUCGUGGCUGCUAGAGAAAAGGAUGUGAUCAUACGACAUUCUCAUCAUCACUCAGACUUUAUAAUAUAACUGUUCAUAUUUUGCUUUUUGUUUGUAAAUUUAGGCAUGCCCAAUACCAGAGCUCUCUAAAAACUUUAUAGAUACAUCAUAAUUGGUUUUUUUUGGUUUACCAUUUUUACUUUGGGCACCCAUUGCAUACUUCCGAUAUAUUUGGGUUGUGCCCCCACUUCUGUUAGGUGGUUUUAGAUUAAUUUAUCAACAACUUAAAAAAAUACAGUGGUAUAUGAAAUUUGGUUGAGCUAAAGAGGUUACUCCAUGACCUCUUUGCAGGUGUGUAGUUCUAUGAGAGCCAUGCAAUAUGAGAAACUAUUGCCUAGGUUGAAGAACUUGCUUUCUAUUCAGCAUACUAUUUGGCCAAGGUAAUUAUUGCUAUAUGAGAGGUGAAGCUGGAAUUUUUAAGUUUGUUUUAGAAGCCAUCUUUGUCAUCUAUGUUUACGAAUUUUGUUCGGUACGAUAGAUUUUUCUUUCAACUUCAUUCAUACUGGACCUAUGUUUCUUCCAAUGCAUUACAUGCAGGCUUAUUCUUUAUUUUGCUUGCUGGAAGGAGGUUAACACCCAUUCUAAUAAUAGUUGAUUAUGCUUUUACAUAAUUCAUUGCAGUACGAUGUGUUUGAUAUUGGCUUUAUAACCACGGAUGACUUCACAAAUGUAGACAUAUCGGAAGCAACUUACCCAGCUGUUGCAAAGAGGUUAUAUAAUGAUUGGAUUAAUGGUCCUGCAAUUCCCAUAGUUACUGGGUUGGAAAUCUGGUGCAGUUACUACCUUGGGUAGGGGUGGGAGUGAUUUGAUAGCCACAUCC